UUCGCAAUGCCCGAAAGGGUGACGAAGCGACGCCGCGUGGGUGAAGAAGGCCUUCGGGUUGUAAAACCCUGUCAGGAGUUAUGAAAUGUAAGUGCGCUAAUAUCGUGCUUAUUUGACAAAGGCUCCAAAGGAAGCCACGGCUAACUCUGUGCCAGCAGCCGCGGUAAUACAGAGGUGGCGAGCGUUGUUCGGAAUUAUUGGGCGUAAAGAGCACGUAGGUGGGUUUGCAAGUCAGAUGUGAAAGCCUUCUGUUCAACGGAAGAAUUGCAUCUGAAACUGCUAAUCUUGAGUAUAGGAGGGGAGAAUGGAACUUCUGGUGGAGCGGUGAAAUGCGUAGAUAUCAGAAGGAACGCCGGCGGCGAAAGCGAUUCUCUGGCCUAUUACUGACACUCAGUGUGCGAAAGCUAGGGGAGCAAACGGGAUUAGAUACCCCGGUAGUCCUAGCUGUAAACGAUGGG
rnacentral:rRNA from 1 species